CAAGUGCAGGCCAUAGCAUUAAAAGACAUUUAUGUUUUCUCUUUCCAUCCAUGUGCAACAAAUGCACACAUGCAGUGCAAAAGAAAAAGAAAAAACAAAAGUUUUCACUCACACCAGACCAGUGACGCGCGGUGAGGUUCGUAGCUGGCACCUGCUGUCGGUUUGACAACAAGACAAUCAGAUGGAGCGGGCGACCAUCGUCCGAUUGUCCCGGUUCCUGGUUUGUCUGUGACACUAAGUGACAACAGCUGGAAGCCCUCGCUCUUCCAACAACACCCAUCAUGCAAGUCAAAUGCAGGCACAAAAGAAAAGGGCUUCAUUAUAGUGACUGUAGUGGUGCGACUUUAACCAGCAAGAAGAGGAAACAAGGAUUUAAUUGUGUCUGCUGAAGGUGGAUGAAAGGCUCUGUUGUCUGAUCUGGAUUUGAACAUGUGUGUUAAAGCACAGGGCAAACAGCACUGCUAUCUGCAGAUGCUGCUGCAGAUUUCUGAAUGCAAACCCUCUCACAUCUCUCUCUUCUUCUUCCCUCUCGACGUAAUUGACUGAACAUGUCAAUACUUGGAGGGAUAAAAACAGAGCCUCCAUCGUCUGCAUCUAUCGAUCCGCACUUCUCUUUCUUUCCCUUUCUGCCUGUCUGCUGAUCUUAAUUACACUUCUUUUUACCAGGCUGGCCAGAGCAGCUGCCCUUUUCAUAAAGCUUACCACUCAUCAGUGCUUAUACAUCAAAAUUAAUGAGCGAAAGCAGGCCUGCAAAGACAAAACAUUCAAUACUAGGUGGAUUUGAAUCAUUUGAAACAAAGAGAAAGUGAUUCAGAGUUGACAUGUUGACCAUCAGACAUCAGAGCUUGAUGUCGUUAGCAUAGCUAGAAAAUAGCAGUCGCUGUGUGUACACUCAACUAUGAAGCUUAACUUUUAGAUUUACAAAAGGUGCCAAUAUUUCUACAUCUGGAAAAUUCAGUCGCGUUAGUCUAACAGCCUUGCUGUUCUCUAUUGAAAGUCUUGCUCUCUCUUAAUCUCUCGUAGCCUGAAGUAAAAGGCUACAUAUUUCUAAUAAUGUAAGCAACUUUCACAGAGAAGAGUGCUGUCAGUCCAAAGUUAACAUGGUGAAUUCACAAAUUCAGAAAGUUAUCUGAUUGAUAACCAAUUCUAACCGUCACUUUUUCUGUGAAUCUUUCUAAAAAGCCUUGAUGAACAUGUUCUGACUUUUUCUUUCUUUACCAAUUUGUUUUUCUCCUCCUUUGUUCCAACAUCUCUCUACCUAUGCUCGCUAGUCCACCUCUCACAAAGCACAAAAACAACUUAUGAAGUCAGGUUUCAUGGAGUGAUAGGAAGGCGGCCCUGUCUAUUCUACAGCAAUUGUUCUCCCAUGAACGAGUUAAAUAAAAAAGGUUUCCUAAUCGCCCGGUUUCACAGCUCACGCCUUCCAUCAAUCACGGCUGUCUGCGCUUCCUUGGCAUUUGUGUGAGCCGUCACGUUCCCACCGUCUGAGCUUUUAAACGUCUGCUGAAUCGAAAAACAAAAGCCGUUGC